GAUGAAGAACGUAGCGAAAUGCGAUAAGUAAUGUGAAUUGCAGAAUUCAGUGAAUCAUCGAAUCUUUGAACGCACCUUGCGCCCUUUGGACUUCUGAAGGGCAUGCCUGUUUGAGUAUCAUGAACACCUCAACUCCUUAUGGUCUUCCAUGAUGAGCUUGGACUUUGGGGGUUUUGCUGGCCUACAGUCAGCUCCUCUAAAAUAAAUCAGCUUACCGGUGUUUGGUGGGUAUCAUGGGUGUGAUAACUAUCUACGCUCGUGGUUUUCCACCAGGUAACCUUCAGCAGUGGAGGUUCACUGGAGCUCAUAGAUGUCUCUCCUCAGCGAGGACAGCCCUCUGAUUGUUUGAUCUCAAAUCAGGUAGGACUACCCGCUGAACUUAAGCAUAUCAAUAAGCGGAGGA
rnacentral:misc_RNA from 1 species